rnacentral:rRNA from 1 species
UGAACGCUAGCUACAGGCUUAACACAUGCAAGUCGAGGGGCAGCAUGAUCUUAGCUUGCUAAGAUUGAUGGCGACCGGCGCACGGGUGAGUAACGCGUAUCCAACCUGGCCCGCAGUAGGGAACAGCCCGGCGAAAGUCGGAUUAAUGCCCUAUGUCUCCUUUGCAGGCAUCCAAUGAGGAAGAAAGAUUUAUCGCUGCGGGAUGGGGAUGCGUCUGAUUAGCUUGUCGGCGGGGUAACGGCCCACCGAGGCGACGAUCAGUAGGGGUUCUGAGAGGAAGGUCCCCCCACACUGGUACUGAGACACGGACCAGACUCCUACGGGAGGCAGCAGUGAGGAAUAUUGGUCAAUGGGCGAGAGCCUGAACCAGCCAAGUAGCGUGCAGGACGACUGCCCUAUGGGUUGUAAGCUGCUUUUAUGCGGGGAUAAACUUCAGCACGUGUGCUGUUUUGCAGGUACCGCAUGAAUAAGGACCGGCUAAUUCCGUGCCAGCCGCAGC